UACGUAGGGUGCGAGCGUUAAUCGGAAUUACUGGGCGUAAAGCGUGCGCAGGCGGUUCGUUAAGUCAGAUGUGAAAGCCCCGGGCUCAACCUGGGAACUGCGCUUGUAACUGGCAAGCUUGAGUGUGGCAGAGGGGGGUGGAAUUCCACGUGUAGCAGUGAAAUGCGUAGAGAUGUGGAGGAACACCAGAGGCGAAGGCGGCUACCUGGACAAUUACUGACGCUCAGGCACGAAAGCGUGGGGAGCAAAAGGG
rnacentral:rRNA from 1 species